UACGAAGGGGGCUAGCGUUGCUCGGAAUCACUGGGCGUAAAGGGUGCGUAGGCGGGUCUUUUAAGUCAGGGGUGAAAUCCUGGAGCUCAACUCCAGAACUGCCUUUGAUACUGAAGAUCUUGAGUUCGGGAGAGGUGAGUGGAACUGCGAGUGUAGAGGUGAAAUUCGUAGAUAUUCGCAAGAACACCAGUGGCGAAGGCGGCUCACUGGCCCGAUACUGACGCUGAGGCACGAAAGCGUGGGGAGCAAACAGGAUUAGA
rnacentral:rRNA from 1 species